ACGAACGCUGGCGGCGUGCUUAACACAUGCAAGUCGAACGGUGAAGCGCCUUCCUUUUUGGUGGGUGUGGAUGAGUGGCGAACGGGUGAGUAACACGUGAGUAACCUGCCCCCUUCUUCUGGAUAACCGCAUGAAAGUUUGGCUAAUACGGGAUAUUCUGGGUCUGUCGCAUGAUGGGUCUGGGAAAGAUAUUGUUUCGGUGGGGGAUGGGCUCGCGGCCUAUCAGCUUGUUGGUGGGGUGAUGGCCUACCAAGGCGGUGACGGGUAGCCGGCCUGAGAGGGUGGACGGUCACACUGGGACUGAGACACGGCGCAGACUCCUACGGGAGGCAGCAGUGGGGAAUAUUGCACAAUGGGCGCAAGCCUGAUGCAGCGACGCCGCGUGAGGGAUGGAGGCCUUCGGGUUGUGAACCUCUUUCGCCAGUGAAGCAGGCCUGCCUCGUUUGUGGGUGGGUUGACGGUAGCUGGAUAAGAAGCGCCGGCUAACUACGUG
rnacentral:rRNA from 1 species